GGUGUAGCUUAGUAGUAAAGCACAUGCUUAGCAUGCACAAAGCCCUGGGUUCGAUCCCCAGUACCA
rnacentral:tRNA from 1 species